rnacentral:misc_RNA from 1 species
GCUUCCCCUUUUUCCUCCUUGGAACAAGCUGUAGCUGUAGCUAGACAUAUCUGGUUCAAUCAGGUCGAUGUGAAUGGUUGGCUGGAAGCAUUCUCUGCCCAUCCACGGAUUGGUGGUCAAGUCGCCAAGUCAUCCAAUCAGACGAGUGCUCAAUGGAGUAAGGGAGAACAGUCAACUGCAAUGGCAACCGCCACUGGUUCUAGCUUACAGGAGCUAGCAGAAUGGAAUAGUCAGUAUCAGCAGAAGUUUGGGUUUGUGUUUCUUAUUUGUGCAUCCGGAAAGAGCACUGACGAGAUACUUGCAGAAUUGAAGAAACGGUAUUCAAAUAGACCCAUAGUUGAGUUUGAGAUUGCUGCUCAGGAGCAAAUGAAAAUAACAGAACUGCGUCUUGCAAAGCUGUUCUCAACCAAACAAAAUACCUCUUCAACCAGAGAGAGCUAUCGUCCUCCUGAUUUUGCACGAAAAGUAGAAGAAGAUCGUGUGAACAUUAU